rnacentral:lncRNA from 1 species
CUUAUGAGAAGAAGCUAGGAGUACAAAUCAAUGUAACUUGUACAGGCACAUGAUAUGCAUUGAGUAAGACUCAACAAAAUAGGAUCAUAUCAUGAGGUGACAGCAAAUCAAAUUUAUCAUGUGGUAAUUAUGGCAUUAGGUUUUGCCCUGUAAGCAGUAUAUAACAGGGGAACAAAAAUCUUGACCAGCAAAUAUAUCAUGACUGCAUACAAAUGUGAGCAUUAGCUCAGUGCUCACACCCUC